UUUCCCGCCGUCGGGGAAUUGAACCCCCGUCUCCUGCGCGGGAGCCGAAAAUGGUUAAGCUUAACUUCCUUAACUUUCCCCAUUCAUUCUCAAUGGUAGUUCUUAACAGUACGGAUGUAAUAUAUUUCCUGCCACUGGUGGACAUUUGGCGCUGGUGGACAUUUGGCGCUGUCCCGAGUUUCCGUUAUUUAGGUUAGGUUAUUACAAUGGUCUUACCUGUCAACAACACUAUCGCGGACCUUCAUAUAGGAUAGGCCUACACUUUUUAGCUGGAUGGUAAAACGCGAUGCUGCUUCAAAACUGAAAUGGUACGUAGGAGAAUAUAUAGUAUUUUCGAUCGUCAAUACUAUAGAGAAUAUAUAGUAUUGACGAUCGAUUUGAUGUACAGUAGUCAUAUGCAACGUUAACGUUGUAUAUCAAUCUACUUUUGGUCCGUUCUUUGCUGUGUAUAGUACUACCAAUGUAUGUCUUUUAAUGUUUGAGCCAGUUUAACUUACUGUCUAUUACUAUCAGACAUCACAUCAAUCAAUGACAUGGUGUCAUUAAUUAUUAGUAUUAUCAUCUGUUUUGUUAUGUUUAAUUAUUUUUCUAUCCUCUUCUUUCCUUCUCUCCUACUAUUUUUCUCCAUCUUUCUAGCAGCCUUUGCACCCCUUAAAUUGUGUGCAGCUCCUGCAACUCACAGACACAAAGUAGUGUUUAUUUCAGCCAGCAUGAAAGUAAGGGUUAUUUUCCCGAGAAAGCUCAAGGUUUCUUUCCGGAGAGGGCCGACUGGGUAUUUGAGGCAAGACCCAUCAGUCGGGGCUAAGAGGAUUAAAGACCACCCUGACCUCCAGGACAAGUCAGCGGCCCAGAAUGAAGACCGGGUGAAAGACAAUGCCAGGUCUGUUGUAUUCAUGAGAGGGGGCGAUAUAUCAGACAAGCAGGAGGUGCUUGGGGAGUAUGUCCUGCAGUUUGGGAAAUACAAGGGAAAGUUAUUCCGGUGGCUUGCAGAGAAUGAUGUAGGGUACGUAAUAUACCUCAUCAAGAAGGUCAGGGAGGAGGAGAGAGCAGGCCAGUUUAAGCCAGAUGGUCCCAAGAAGGACAGCUUGUUGUCACUCCUGCAGUACAGCUACAGCUUCCAGGAGAUCAAGGACCUGCUGCUGUAUCUGGACAGUCAGGUAGUAACACCACCAGCUAAGGAUGACGAGGAUAACCUAGUUGGUUUUGGGGUUCACACGAAGAGGACGUGGAGGGAUGUUUGGAAGCGGAGAGACGAUGGAUUUUCUGCGUUUAUCCUGCGACAGCAGUGUACGCCAGGCAGCAAAAUGUUUAGGCUCCAGGACUACCUGAAGAGGCAGAGUGCUUCUGAGGGACGUGCUUCCUCUGGGCAUGCAACAUCGGCCUCUCAUUGCCCAGGUGUGUUGACAAUACAAGUGACCAUAUUUAGUCAAAUUAGAAUGUUGUGUGUGAACUCACUUAUCUUUGCCUUUGUUCUAGCUUUCACAGAAAUGGAGGAUGAUGAUGAGUUGGAGAGGAUGAUGCUCUCUAUAUCCCCAUCCAAACUCCAAGCGGAGGAAGGAGUUGAGGAAUGGGAGAGAAAGAUGCCAGCCACACCUAUUCCAGGCCAUCUUGGUGAGAACAACACACGCACACACACACACACACACACACACACACACACACACACACACACACACACACACACACACACACACACACACACAAACUGUCAAGUUAUAUUGCUGUUUAAUGUUUUGUAA
rnacentral:lncRNA from 1 species